rnacentral:rRNA from 1 species
CAUAAUGACUGCACCACGUUGAAUACAGCAUUCGCGGCCGAACACUUAAGCGACGUCGCGUGUGAAGAGUACCCGGAUGGGUGACCGCCUGGGAGAUCACGUGUUGUUGGUU